CUUGGUCAUUUAGAGGAAGUAAAAGUCGUAACAAGGUUUCCGUAGGUGAACCUGCGGAAGGAUCAUUCAUAAUAAGUGUUUUAUGGCACUUUUUUAGAUCCAUAUCCACCUUGUGUGCAAUGUCAGGGUUGGUCUCUUGAAAAAGAGAUCAGCCCCAAACAUCAACCCAAUCUUAACUCUUUGUCUGAAAAAUAUUAUGAAUAAAACAAUUCAAAAUACAACUUUCAACAACGGAUCUCUUGGCUCUCGCAUCGAUGAAGAACGCAGCGAAAUGCGAUACGUAAUGUGAAUUGCAGAAUUCAGUGACUCAUCGAAUCUUUGAACGCAUAUUGCGCUCUUUGGUAUUCCGAAGAGCAUGCUUGUUUGAGUAUCAGUAAACACCUCAAAGCCUUUUUUUGUUAAGAGGCCUUGGACUUGAGCAAUCCCAACACUUUUCCUCCAAGAAAAGUGGCGGGUUGCUUGAAAUGCAGGUGCAGCUGGACAUUCUCCAGAGCUAAAAGCAUAUUCAUUUAGUCCCGUCAAACGGAUUAUUACUUUUGCUGCAGCUAACAUAAAGGGAGUUUGACCAUUUUGGCUGACUGAUGCAGGAUUUUCACAAGAGUCUCCAAAAGCUUUUGUUAAACUCGAUCUCAAAUCAAGUAAGACUACCCGCUGAACUUAAGCAUAUCAAUAAGCGGAGGA
rnacentral:rRNA from 1 species